CCUACGGGAGGCAGCAGUGGGGAAUAUUGCACAAUGGGGGAAACCCUGAUGCAGCGACGCCGCGUGAGUGAAGAAGUAUUUCGGUAUGUAAAGCUCUAUCAGCAGGGAAGAAGAAAGACGGUACCUGACUCAGAAGCCCCGGCUAACUACGUGCCAGCAGCCGAGGUAAUACGUAGGGGGCAAGCGUUAUCCGGAUUUACUGGGUGUAAAGGGAGCGUAGACGGCUGUGCAAGUCUGAAGUGAAAGCCCAGGGCUCAACCCUGGGACUGCUUUGGAAACUGUGGAGCUAGAGUGCUGGAGAGGUAAGUGGAAUUCCUAGUGUAGCGGUGAAAUGCGUAGAUAUUAGGAGGAACACCAGGGGCGAAGGCGGCUUACUGGACAGUAACUGACGUUGAGGCUCGAAAGCGUGGGGAGCAAACAGGAUUAGAUACCCUUGUAGUC
rnacentral:rRNA from 1 species